rnacentral:rRNA from 1 species
AGGAUACGGUUAACGGAGCGAAAGCGACGUUCAACCUCAAAAGAAGCAGAGGGGGCUUAGUGGUGGGGUGACUGCGUACCUUUUGUAUAAUGGGUCAGCGACUUAUAUUCUGUAGCAAGGUUAACCGAAUAGGGGAGCCGGAGGGAAACCGAGUCUUAACCGGGCGUUAAGUUGCAGGGUAUAGACCCGAAACCCGGUGAUCUAGCCAUGGGCAGGUUGAAGGUUGGGUAACACUAACUGGAGGACCGAACCGACUAAUGUUGAAAAAUUAGCGGAUGACCUGUGGCUGGGGGUGAAAGGCCAAUCAAACCGGGAGAUAGCUGGUUCUCCCCGAAAGCUAUUUAGGUAGCGCCUCGUGAAUUCAUCUCCGGGGGUAGAGCACUGUUUCGGCUAGGGGGCCAUCCCGGCUUACCAACCCGAUGCAAACUGCGAAUACCGGAGAAUGUUAUCACGGGAGACACACGGCGGGUGCUAACGUCCGUCGUGAAGAGGGAAACAACCCAGACCGCCAGCUAAGGUCCCAAAGUCAUGGUUAAGUGGGAAACGAUGUGGGAAGGCCCAGACAGCCAGGAUGUUGGCUUAGAAGCAGCCAUCAUUUAAAGAAAGCGUAAUAGCUCACUGGUCGAGUCGGCCUGCGCGGAAGAUGUAACGGGGCUAAACCAUGCACCGAAGCUGCGGCAGCGACACUAUGUGUUGUUGGGUAGGGGAGCGUUCUGUAAGCCUGUGAAGGUGGCCUGUGAGGGUUGCUGGAGGUAUCAGAAGUGCGAAUGCUGACAUAAGUAACGAUAAAGCGGGUGAAAAGCCCGCUCGCCGGAAGACCAAGGGUUCCUGUCCAACGUUAAUCGGGGCAGGGUGAGUCGACCCCUAAGGCGAGGCCGAAAGGCGUAGUCGAUGGGAAACGGGUUAAUAUUCCCGUACUUGGUGUUACUGCGAAGGGGGGACGGAGAAGGCUAUGUUGGCCGGGCGACGGUUGUCCCGG